AAACCAGGAAAAGCAGUGUGUUUCUUUACUGGAAGCUAAAUGUGUCACACAACUUUGAAAGUUUAAUCAAAACGAAAACAUACACUGCAAAAUGCCGAAGAAGAAGCAGGCCUACAACGCUUUCUAUUUCUUCAUGAAAGAAAUGGAGCCACAAUUACGGCGGGAGGGUCGAAUUACGAACGGAAUGGCCGACGUAGUUCCACUGGCUCAUCCACGCUGGCAAGUUCUCCCCAAGGAGGAGAAAGAGAGAUAUGAACAGAUGGCCAAGCAGUACAAGGCCAAGAUGAGAGGAACGGUCGGGGACCAGUACAGAAUGGACAAUGUGGGCAACAUCAUUGCACAUCGGAAGGACCCGAAGUUGGAGGAGAGCAAGAGAAUAAAGAAGGGAAGAGAUGAGGUGGUCGCCUCUUGGAAGACUAAGGAUGUCAUGGAGGAGUACUUCUACUUUAUCAACUUCCAGGUACUUUGUCGGACAGAAGAUGGGGAUUAUCUCCCCUGUGAGAUUGCUGUCAUCGAGUACAAUCUCCAGAAGGGGAUCACAAAGAAGUUACAUCGGUUUAUUGAACCUGGGCGGAUACCGACAGGCUACCGAUACACCUGUAUGACAAACAGUGACGAAACCCAUCAGAUACCUGUGGAGAAUUUUGAAUUGUCGGAUGAAAACUACCGAGGUCUGUGGAUACAACUUGAGAACUUCAUCAACCCAAGUGGUGAAAAACCAGACUACCCACCUGUGUACUGUCUGACUGACUCGUACGAGAAGACAGCGUACUGCCUCGAGUGGAUCUGUAACCACACAUGUUUGGGAACAGUGAACCGCCUCCGUCGCGUCUAUGACCUUGGGGGCCUGGUGGGUGACCUGUACAGCCAGGCUGGGAAACAGAGCAUCUCCAUGACCUCCAUCUCCGACAUGCUGACCUCCAGCAGCUGGGACUAUGUGUCAGGCACAAGAUGUGACUGGCAUGAAGAGAAGGAGUGUAACUUCUGUGCCCUGGCUACCGUGCAGAGAUAUGCCUAUGCCAUCUCAGACGCCAUGUCCCAGAUCUACAACUUCAAGCUGACAGAAAAACACCUUCCCUGCAGCUCCAACAAGCCAUCUAACUACAUCAUCAUACCUCCCUCAGCCAUGUCCAUCCAGUCACGCCCGGCACGGGCCACCUCCCGGGGCAGGGGCUGGACCCCAGGGGCCAGGCAGGGGGUAGGCAGGGGCGUCACGACAGACUACAGUCAGCAGCAGCGACAACUGGAGGAGGAAGAUGAAGAAGAGGAAGCAGAGCUCGAAGACUACAAGACCAGAGUGAGACGGCCCAAGAUGCCAGCUGCCUCAGGGUGGGGCCCUGUCCCCGGGGUCAACUCUACCCCCAACCUUGACUCCCAGGAUGCUUCACAGUGGCCCAGUCUCGGAGGGGGUCCAGGGUCUCAGAAGUUUGCAGGAAGAGUGCAGCCUCCUGAUGCUAGCAGUGCCCCACCACCACCCCUAGCUUGGCAGGCCCCAGGGGUGGGGCUAGGCAGGGGGGCGGGGCAGGGGUGUUCCAUCAGCUGCGGGAGACAUGAAGGAUAUUGCCGCCAACCUUUUCACACAGCCAGGCUACCAGCCACAGGCUGUAGGAAGAGGCAUGCAACCAGUGCGUCUGACAAGUCAGCAGAGGUGCAGCCACCCAGAAUGGCUCUACCUCCAUCAACAGGACUAAUGGGUCAAGGUCGUGGCAUAAGAGUGCCAGGCCAGGGUGUUACCCAGCCUCCUGUUGGCAGAGGCUAUGCUCCCCCAGUCGGCAGAGGCUAUGCCCCGGUUGGCAGAGGCUAUGCUCCCCCAGUCGGCAGAGGCUAUGCUCCGGUUGGCAGAGGCUAUGCUCCCCCAGUUGAUGGAGCCAAUACUCCGCCAGGUAUGAUACAGCAACAGAUGCAGGCCAUGACACUCAACCAGGAGCAGUAACUCAGCAGGCAGCUGUUUGACUACCAGAUAUCAGGAGAGACCUCUCAGUGUUGCCACCUCAGCCCGUGCUAUGUGACAGGACGUGUUCUGAUCUCAGACCCUUGAUGGGAGGACGAGGUGUUCCGACCACAGACCGGAGGAGGGAGGGUCAGGAUACUGGGAUCGAGGAUGCGAAUUGUGAAGAUGUUAAAAAAACCAUAGGAAUCCUUAACCUCCGAAAUGCUGGAGGGAGGGAGAUUCGGGGGCAAAUUUUGUUAUGCAAUUAAACAAAUAGUUCUCCUUAUAUUUUACCUAAAAUAAUUGGAGGGCAAAUGUAUGUUGUGUUGUCAUUUGUUCCCAUUUCAAAGAUAAAAGCAAAUUGUGUUACUUCAAGCA
rnacentral:misc_RNA from 1 species